rnacentral:rRNA from 1 species
CCAGACUCCUACGGGAGGCAGCAGUGAGGAAUAUUGGUCAAUGGGCGCGAGCCUGAACCAGCCAAGUCGCGUGAGGGAUGAAGGAUCUAUGGUUCGUAAACCUCUUUUAUAAGGGAAUAAAGUGCGGGACGCGUCCCGCUUCGCAUGUACCUUAUGAAUAAGGAUCGGCUAACUCCGUGCCAGCAGCCGCGGUAAUACGGAGGAUGCGAGCGUUAUCCGGAUUUAUUGGGUUUAAAGGGUGCGCAGGCGGAUUUUUAAGUCAGCGGUCAAAUCGUGGGGCUCAACCCCAUCCAGCCGUUGAAACUGGGGAUCUAGAGUGUGCGAGAGGUAUGCGGAAUGCGUGGUGUAGCGGUGAAAUGCAUAGAUAUCACGCAGAACCCCGAUUGCGAAGGCAGCAUACCGGUGCACAACUGACGCUCAGGCACGAAAGCGUGGGUAUCGAACAGGAUUAGAUACCCUGGUA